GACGGACGCUGGCGGCGUGCUUAACACAUGCAAGUCGAACGGAAAGGCCCUGCUUUUGUGGGGUGCUCGAGUGGCGAACGGGUGAGUAACACGUGAGUAACCUGCCCUUGACUUUGGGAUAACUUCAGGAAACUGGGGCUAAUACCGGAUAGGAGCUCCUGCUGCAUGGUGGGGGUUGGAAAGUUUCGGCGGUUGGGGAUGGACUCGCGGCUUAUCAGCUUGUUGGUGGGGUAGUGGCUUACCAAGGCUUUGACGGGUAGCCGGCCUGAGAGGGUGACCGGCCAAAUUGGGACGGGGAUCCGGCCCGGCCCCCCACGGGGGGAAGAGGGGGGAAAUAUUCAACAAGGGGGGGAAGCCGUAGGCGGAAACCCCGGGGGGGGGAGGCGGGCCUUCGGGUUGAAAACCGCUUUCCCCGGGAACGAGGGGGGGGGGACGGUAAUGGGAAAAAAAGCACCGGCUACUUACGG
rnacentral:rRNA from 1 species